GCGAGCGUUAAUCGGAAUUACUGGGCGUAAAGCGCAUGCAGGUGGUUUGUUAAGUCAGAUGUGAAAGCCCGGGGCUCAACCUCGGAAUUGCAUUUGAAACUGGCAAACUAGAGUACUGUAGAGGGGGUAGAAUUUCAGGUGUAGCGGUGAAAUGCGUAGAGAUCUGAAGGAAUACCGGUGGCGAAGGCGGCCCCCUGGACAGAUACUGACACUCAGAUGCGAAAGCGUGGGGAGCAAACAGGAUUAGAUACCCUGGUAG
rnacentral:rRNA from 1 species